UACGGGGGGAGCAAGCGUUGUUCGGAUUUACUGGGCGUAAAGGGCGCGUAGGCGGCCACCGCAAGUCGACUGUGAAAUCUCCGGGCUUAACCCGGAAAGGUCAGCCGAUACUGCGGGGCUAGAGUGCAGAAGGGGCAACUGGAAUUCCCGGUGUAGCGGUGAAAUUCGUAGAUAUUGGGAAGAACACCGGUGGCGAAGGCGGCUCUCUGGACCGAGACUGACGCUGAGGCGCGAAAGCGUGGGGAGCAAACAGG
rnacentral:rRNA from 1 species